GUAGGUGGCAAGCAUUGUCCGGAAUUAUUGGGCGUAAAGCGCGCGCAGGCGGUUCUUUAAGUCUGAUGUGAAAGCCCACGGGCUCAACCGUGGAGGGUCAUUGGAAACUGGAGAACUUGAGUACAGAAGAGGAAAGCGGAAUUCCACGUGUAGCGGUGAAAUGCGUAGAGAUGUGGAGGAACACCAGUGGCGAAGGCGGCUUUCUGGUCUGUAACUGACGCUGAGGCGCGAAAGCGUGGGGAGCAAACAGGAUUAGAUACCCUGGUAGUCCACGCCGUAAACGAUGAGUGCUAAGUGUUAGGGGGUUUCCGCCCCUUAGUGCUGCAGCUAACGCAUUAAGCACUCCGCCUGGGGAGUACGGCCGCAAGGCUG
rnacentral:rRNA from 1 species